rnacentral:lncRNA from 1 species
GAAGAGAGCGUGGAUCAGGUGUCCUCUUGGAUGUUCCAAACCACCAUCUUGGACUUCCAGCAUUUGCUUCAGACAGAAAGUUUGGGACUCAAAGUGUGCCCUCAUGAGGCAGGGAAAAACUAAAAAAUGUGUCUUUUACGUAACUUGGAUAGCUGAGUGGUCAAUCCUGCACCAAUCGUUGAUGAGUUGUCUCGCUCGAAAGCCCAGUUGUCAUUUUUUAGAUAGAAUUCCAUACAGAGAUAAAACCUCGAAUCAAUCAUUUUUCUCGAGCCGUACGAGG